GUGUUUAUUUAUAAAGCAAGUUCAAGCGAUAUGAACUUGUUUUUAGUUAUACCUCCCUCAUACUUUUUCUUCUUUUUCAGAUAUCCAUUGUGAUGGUUACGUUCCUCGGAAAUCAUCAAAAAGUUUUUUUUUUAAAUUUAAUAAUUUGAUGAUGAUCAACUUAUAAAUAUACAUAAUAUAAUUAAAAUAUUUAUUAAUCGGCUCAGUUAAUUCAAAAAAUAAAUAUUGUGAAAUUAAACAAAUAUUAAAAAUGUGAAAUAUUAAAACUAGUGAAUACGCAAUAAAAUUUAACGGAAACAAAAAAUAUUGAGCAUAUAAAUACCACACAAAAUGACCAAUUUAUAUACAUACAAAUUACAUAUAUCAUUAUAGUAUAUAUUUAUGCAAAAAUAUCACAUUUGACAAAACGUAAA